rnacentral:rRNA from 1 species
CCCCUAGAUGUUCUGGGCCGCACGCGCGCUACACUGAACAGUUCAACAAGUCUUAACCUUGGCCGAUAGGUCUGGGUAAUCUUUGAACGCUGUUCGUGAUUGGGAUAGACCUUUGCAAUUAUGGGUCUUCAACGAGGAAUUCCUAGUAAACGCAAGUCAUCAGCUUGCAUUGAUUACGUCCCUGCCCUUUGUACACACCGCCCGUCGCACCUACCGAUUGAAUGGUCCGGUGAAAUCUCGGGACGGCGGCUUGGUCGCUUGCGUCCGACUGCUGAAACUUGAUUAAACCAUAUCAUUUAGAGGAAGGUGAAGUCGCAACA